UACGAAGGGGGCUAGCGGUGCUCGGAAUGACUGGGCGUAAAGGGCGCGUAGGCGGAAUGCUUUGUCGGGCGUGAAAUUCCAGGGCUCAACCUUGGGGCUGCGUUCGAGACGGGUAUUCUUGAGUUCGGAAGAGGGUCGUGGAAUUCCCAGUGUAGAGGUGAAAUGCGUAGAGAUCGGGAGGAACACCAGUGGCGAAGGCGGCCGGCUGGGGGUGACCUGACGCUGAGGCGCGAAAGCGUGGGGAGCGAACCGG
rnacentral:rRNA from 1 species